GAUGAACGCUGGCGGCGUGCCUAAUACAUGCAAGUCGAGCGAACAGACGAGGAGCUUGCUCCUUUGACGUUAGCGGCGGACGGGUGAGUAACACGUAGGUAACCUACCUAUAAGACUGGGAUAACUUCGGGAAACCGGAGCUAAUACCGGAUAAUAUUUCGAACCGCAUGGUUCGAUAGUGUAAGAUGGCUUUGCUAUCACUUAUAGAUGGACCUGCGCCGUAUUAGCUAGUUGGUAAGGUAACGGCUUACCAAGGCAACGAUACGUAGCCGACCUGAGAGGGUGAUCGGCCACACUGGAACUGAGACACGGUCCAGACUCCUACGGGAGGCAGCAGUAGGGAAUCUUCCGCAAUGGGCGAAAGCCUGACGGAGCAACGCCGCGUGAGUGAUGAAGGUCUUCGGAUCGUAAAACUCUGUUAUUAGGGAAGAACAAACGUGUAAGUAACUGUGCACGUCUUGACGGUACCUAAUCAGAAAGCCACGGCUAACUACGUG
rnacentral:rRNA from 1 species